rnacentral:misc_RNA from 1 species
CCAAUAGCGUAUAUUAAAGUUGUUGUGGUUAAAAAGCUCGUAGUUGAACCUUGGGCCUGGCUGGCCGGUCCGCCUCACCGCGUGUACUGGUCCGGCCGGGCCUUUCCCUCUGUGGAACCUCAUGCCCUUCACUGGGCGUGACGGGGAAACAGGACUUUUACUGUGAAAAAAUUAGAGUGCUCCAGGCAGGCCUAUGCUCGAAUACAUUAGCAUGGAAUAAUGAAAUGGGACGUGCGGUUCUAUUUUGUUGGUUUCUAGGACCGCCGUAAUGAUUAAUAGGGACAGUCGGGGGCAUCAGUAUUCAAUUGUCAGAGGUGAAAUUCUUGGAUUUAUUGAAGACUAACUACUGCGAAAGCAUUUGCCAAGGAUGUUUUCAUUAAUCAGGAACGAAAGUUAGGGGAUCGAAGACGAUCAGAUACCGUCGUAGUCUUAACCAUAAACGAUGCCGACCGGCGAUCCGCUGUCGUUACUUGAAUGACUCAGCGGGCAGCCUCCG